rnacentral:rRNA from 1 species
GACGAACGCUGGCGGCGUGCUUAACACAUGCAAGUCGAGCGGAGCGGCGAACGGGUGAGUAACGCGUGAAUAACUGCCCCCCUCUCUGGGAUAACAGUUGGAAACGGCUGCUAAUACCGGAUAGUGGGGGAUGACUCGCGUCCUAUGCGCUUGUUGGUGAGGUAGUGGCCUACCAAGGCGACGACGGGUAGCCGGCCUGAGAGGGCGACCGGCCACAUUGGGCUGAGAUACGGCCCAAACGCCUACGGGAGGAAGCGGGGGGGAGUAUUGCGCAAUGGGGGAAACCCUGAUGCAGCGGCGCCGCGUGCGUGAUGACGGGCUUCGGGUUGUAAACCGCUGUGAGCAAUGACGCGGUAGUGGCUGAAGAAGCACCGGCUAACUACGUGCCAGCAGCCGCGGUAAUAC